UGGGGAAUUUUGCACAAUGGGGGAAACCCUGAUGCAGCGACGCCGCGUGAUUUAGAAGGCCUUCGGGUUGUAAAAAUCUUUUCUAUGGGAAGAAAAUGACAGUACCAUAGGAAUAAGUACCGGCUAAUUACGUGCCAGCAGCCGCGGUAAUACGUAAGGUCCGAGCGUUGUCCGGAAUCAUUGGGCGUAAAGGGUACGUAGGCGGGUAAGCAAGUUAGAAGUGAAAUCCUGUAGCUCAACUACAGUAAGCUUUUACAACUGCUCAUCUUGAGAUAUGGAAGGGAAAGUGGAAUUCCUAGUGUAGCGGUCAAAUGCGCAGAUAUUAGGAAGAAUACCGGUGGCGAAGGCGACUUUCUGGUCAUCAUCUGACGCUGAGGUACGAAAGCGUGGGUAGCAAACAGG
rnacentral:rRNA from 1 species